CCGCGCACUAGUCCUGCAGACUCUGGAUCAGACAGAGGCUCAGAUCGCAUCGGGCCGGCCGCUGGAGCCAUGUGUUCGGAGAGGACAGGAGCGGCACUGGUCUCCACGGUCGUCUGUCUCAGCCUGUGCUGCUGAUUCAAGCAGCUUGUGCUCCACCACAGACUGUGUUUCCCAUGGUGUGUCUGAAUCUCUGCUGUUCUUCCUGUGGUGGACAUGCAGCUGCUGUGGAGUUGUUCUCAAACUGAUGGUUUGAGACACAAAGCCACAACCUCAGCCCUGGCUCUCUUUUAUGAAGUUCUGUUGUGCUGCAGUGUCUGCUGUUGAUGGAUAGUGUGCUGCUCUGGCUUUAGCUGCAGUGUACGGCACUGGCUUCUGAAGGUAUAUUUCAGAUAACUCGAUAUUUGUCAGACCCUUCACCUUGGUUGACCACC
ensembl:lncRNA